rnacentral:rRNA from 1 species
GAUGAACGCUGGCGGCGUGCCUAAUACAUGCAAGUCGAGCGAACGGACGAGAAGCUUGCUUCUCUGAUGUUAGCGGCGGACGGGUGAGUAACACGUGGAUAACCUACCUAUAAGACUGGGAUAACUUCGGGAAACCGGAGCUAAUACCGGAUAAUAUUUUGAACCGCAUGGUUCAAAAGUGAAAGACGGUCUUGCUGUCACUUAUAGAUGGAUCCGCGCUGCAUUAGCUAGUUGGUAAGGUAACGGCUUACCAAGGCAACGAUGCAUAGCCGACCUGAGAGGGGAGUCCGCCGCCGUGGUAUUGACGCACGUACCAAUCUCCCACGGAAGGCAGUAAGCGGGCAUCUUCCGAAAGGGCCGAAACCCUGCCGAGACAACGCUGCGGGAAUGAAGAUGCUUAUUGAAUCGUAAAACUUUUUUUUGAGGAAAAAAAAAAAUGGUAAAUAACUGAACAACACGUGUCGGAACCUAGAAAGAAUCCAAGGCAAAAUCACCA